AAACGUAGGGGGCGAGCGUUGUCCGGAAUUACUGGGCGUAAAGGGCGUGUAGGCGGCUAGGUAAGUCAGGUGUGAAAACUUUUGGCUCAACCAGGAGACUGCACCUGAAACUGCGUAGCUUGAGGGUAGGAGAGGAAAGUGGAAUUCCUAGUGUAGCGGUGAAAUGCGUAGAUAUUAGGAGGAACACCAGUGGCGAAGGCGACUUUCUGGCCUAACCCUGACGCUGAGGCGCGAAAGCGUGGGGAGCAAACAGGAUUAGAUACCCUGGUAGUCCACGCCGUAAACGAUGGGUACUAGGUGUAGGAGGUAUCGACCCCUUCUGUGCCGCAGCAAACGCAUUAAGUACCCCGCCUGGGGAGUACGGCCGCAAGGCUGAA
rnacentral:rRNA from 1 species